CCUGCCUGCUAUCGGAUUGAUACUAAGCCAUGCGAGUCAUUGUAGCAAUACAAGGCAGACGGCUCAGUAACGCGUAGUCAACCUACCCUAUGGACGGGAAUAACCUCGGGAAACUGAGAAUAAUGCCCGAUAGAACACUAUGCCUGGAAUGGUUUGUGUUCCAAAUGAUUUAUCGCCGUAGGAUGGGACUGCGUCCUAUCAGUUUGUUGGUGAGGUAAUGGCCCACCAAGACUAUUACAGGUACGGGCUCUGAGAGGAGUGGCCCGGAGAUGGGUACUGAGACACGGACCCAGGCCCUAUGGGGCGCAGCAGGCGAGAAAACUUUGCAAUGUGCGAAAGCACGACAAGGUUAAUCCGAGUGGUUUCUGCUAAAGGAACCUUUUGUUAGUCCUAGAAACACUGACGAAUAAGGGGUGGGCAAGUUCUGGUGUCAGCCGCCGCGGUAAAACCAGCACCUCAAGUGGUCAGGAUGAUUAUUGGGCCUAAAGCAUCCGUAGCCUGCUUUGUUAGUUUUCGGUUAAAUCUGUACGCUCAACGUACAGGCUGCCGGGAAUACUGCAAAGCUAGGGAGUGGGAGAGGUAGACGGUACUCGGUAGGAAGGGGUAAAAUCCUUUGAUCUAUUGAUGACCACCUGUGGCGAAGGCGGUCUACCAGAACACGUCCGACGGUGAGGGAUGAAAGCUGGGGGAGCAAACCGGAUUAGAUACCCGGGUAGUCCCAGCUGUAAACCAUGCAAACUCAGUGAUGCAUUGGCUUGUGGCCAAUGCAGUGCUGCAGGGAAGCCGUUAAGUUUGCCGCCUGGGAAGUACGUACGCAAGUAAGAAAGUUAAAGGAAUUGGCGGGGGAGCACCACAAGGGGUGAAGCCUGCGGUUCAAUUGGAGUCAACGCCGGGAAUCACUAGUG
rnacentral:rRNA from 1 species